rnacentral:rRNA from 1 species
GAGUUUGAUCAUGGCUCAGAUUGAACGCUGGCGGCAGGCCUAACACAUGCAAGUCGAACGGUAACAGGAAGAAGCUUGCUUCUUUGCUGACGAGUGGCGGACGGGUGAGUAAUGUCUGGGAAGCUGCCUGAUGGAGGGGGAUAACUACUGGAAACGGUAGCUAAUACCGCAUAACGUCGCAAGACCAAAGAGGGGGACCUUCGGGCCUCUUGCCAUCGGAUGUGCCCAGAUGGGAUUAGCUAGUAGGUGGGGUAACGGCUCACCUAGGCGACGAUCCCUAGCUGGUCUGAGAGGAUGACCAGCCACACUGGAACUGAGACACGGUCCAGACUCCUACGGGAGGCAGCAGUGGGGAAUAUUGCACAAUGGGCGCAAGCCUGAUGCAGCCAUGCCGCGUGUAUGAAGAAGGCCUUCGGGUUGUAAAGUACUUUCAGCGGGGAGGAAGGGAGUAAAGUUAAUACCUUUGCUCAUUGACGUUACCCGCAGAAGAAGCACCGGCUAACUCCGUGCCAGCAGCCGCGGUAAUACGGAGGGUGCAAGCGUUAAUCGGAAUUACUGGGCGUAAAGCGCACGCAGGCGGUUUGUUAUGUCAGAUGUGAAAUCCCCGGGCUCAACCUGGGAACUGCAUCUGAUACUGGCAAGCUUGAGUCUCGUAGAGGGGGGUAGAAUUCCAGGUGUAGCGGUGAAAUGCGUAGAGAUCUGGAGGAAUACCGGUGGCGAAGGCGGCCCCCUGGACGAAGACUGACGCUCAGGUGCGAAAGCGUGGGGAGCAAACAGGAUUAGAUACCCUGGUAGUCCACGCCGUAAACGAUGUCGACUUGGAGGUUGUGCCCUUGAGGCGUGGCUUCCGGAGCUAACGCGUUAAGUCGACCGCCUGGGGAGUACGGCCGCAAGGUUAAAACUCAAAUGAAUUGACGGGGGCCCGCACAAGCGGUGGAGCAUGUGGUUUAAUUCGAUGCAACGCGAAGAACCUUACCUGGUCUUGACAUCCACGGAAGUUUUCAGAGAUGAGAAUGUGCCUUCGGGAACCGUGAGACAGGUGCUGCAUGGCUGUCGUCAGCUCGUGUUGUGAAAUGUUGGGUUAAGUCCCGCAACGAGCGCAACCCUUAUCCUUUGUUGCCAGCGGUCCGGCCGGGAACUCAAAGGAGACUGCCAGUGAUAAACUGGAGGAAGGUGGGGAUGACGUCAAGUCAUCAUGGCCCUUACGACCAGGGCUACACACGUGCUACAAUGGCGCAUACAAAGAGAAGCGACCUCGCGAGAGCAAGCGGACCUCAUAAAGUGCGUCGUAGUCCGGAUUGGAGUCUGCAACUCGACUCCAUGAAGACGGAAUCGCUAGUAACCGUGGAUCAGAAUGCCACGGUGAAUACGUUCCCGGGCCUUGUACACACCGCCCGUCACACCAUGGGAGUGGGUUGCAAAAGAAGUAGGUAGCUUAACCUUCGGGAGGGCGCUUACCACUUUGUGAUUCAUGACUGGGGUGAAGUCGUAACAAGGUA